UAGAAGAAAAUUUNGGUGCAAGCAUCGU
rnacentral:piRNA from 1 species